AUUGAACGCUGGCGGCAGGCCUAACACAUGCAAGUCGAGCGGUAACACAGAGGAGCUUGCUCCUUGGGUGACGAGCGGCGGACGGGUGAGUAAUGCCUGGGGAUCUGCCCGAUAGAGGGGGAUAACUACGGGAAACUGUAGCUAAUACCGCAUAAUGUCUACGGACCAAAGUGGGGGCUCUUCGGACCUCAUGCUAUCGGAUGAACCCAGGUGGGAUUAGCUAGUUGGUGAGGUAAUGGCUCACCAAGGCGACGAUCUCUAACUGGUUUGAGAGAAUGACGAGUCACACUGGAACUGAGGCACGGUCCAGACUCCUACGGGAGGCAGCAGUGGGGAAUAUUGCACAAUGGGCGAAAGCCUGAUGCAGCCAUGCCGCGUGUGUGAGGAAGGCCUUCGGGUUGUAAAGCACUUUCAGCGGGGAGGAAGGGUCACUAGUUAAUACCUAGUGGCAUUGACGUUACUCGCAGAAGAAGCACCGGCUAACUCCGUGCCAGCAGCCGCCGCCGUAA
rnacentral:rRNA from 1 species